rnacentral:rRNA from 1 species
GACGAACGCUGGCGGCGUGCUUAACACAUGCAAGUCGAACGGAAAGGCCCUGCUUUUGUGGGGUGCUCGAGUGGCGAACGGGUGAGUAACACGUGAGUAACCUGCCCUUGACUUUGGGAUAACUUCAGGAAACUGGGGCUAAUACCGGAUAGGAGCUCCUGCUGCAUGGUGGGGGUUGGAAAGUUUCGGCGGUUGGGGAUGGACUCGCGGCUUAUCAGCUUGUUGGUGGGGUAGUGGCUUACCAAGGCUUUGACGGGUAGCCGGCCUGAGAGGGUGACCGGCCACAUUGGGACUGAGAUACGGCCCAGACUCCUACGGGAGGCAGCAGUGGGGAAUAUUGCACAAUGGGCGGAAGCCUGAUGCAGCAACGCCGCGUGCGGGAUGACGGCCUUCGGGUUGUAAACCGCUUUCGCCUGUGACGAAGCGUGAGUGACGGUAAUGGGUAAAGAAGCACCGGCUAACUACGUGCCAGCAGCCGCGGUGAUACGUAGGGUGCGAGCGUUGUCCGGAUUUAUUGGGCGUAAAGGGCUCGUAGGUGGUUGAUCGCGUCGGAAGUGUAAUCUUGGGGCUUAACCCUGAGCGUGCUUUCGAUACGGGUUGACUUGAGGAAGGUAGGGGAGAAUGGAAUUCCUGGUGGAGCGGUGGAAUGCGCAGAUAUCAGGAGGAACACCAGUGGCGAAGGCGGUUCUCUGGGCCUUUCCUGACGCUGAGGAGCGAAAGCGUGGGGAGCGAACAGGCUUAGAUACCCUGGUAGUCCACGCUGUAAACGGUGGGUACUAGGUGUGGGGUCCAUUCCACGGGUUCCGUGCCGUAGCUAACGCUUUAAGUACCCCGCCUGGGGAGUACGGCCGCAAGGCUAAAACUCAAAGGAAUUGACGGGGCCCCGCACAAGCGGCGGAGCAUGCGGAUUAAUUCGAUGCAACGCGUAGAACCUUACCUGGGUUUGACAUGGAUCGGGAGUGCUCAGAGAUGGGUGUGCCUCUUUUGGGGUCGGUUCACAGGUGGUGCAUGGCUGUCGUCAGCUCGUGUCGUGAGAUGUUGGGUUAAGUCCCGCAACGAGCGCAACCCUUGUUCACUGUUGCCAGCACGUUAUGGUGGGGACUCAGUGGAGACCGCCGGGGUCAACUCGGAGGAAGGUGGGGAUGACGUCAAGUCAUCAUGCCCCUUAUGUCCAGGGCUUCACGCAUGCUACAAUGGCUGGUACAGAGAGUGGCGAGCCUGUGAGGGUGAGCGAAUCUCGGAAAGCCGGUCUCAGUUCGGAUUGGGGUCUGCAACUCGACCUCAUGAAGUCGGAAUCGCUAGUAAUCGCAGAUCAGCAACGCUGCGGUGAAUACGUUCCCGGG